CAAGGCUUGACAUGCAGGGAAAAGCCGUAGAGACACGGUGUCUGUAAGGGUCCUGCACAGGUGGUGCAUGGCUGUCGUCAGCUCGUGUCGUGAGAUGUUGGGUUAAGUCCCGCAACGAGCGCAACCCUUAUCCUAUGUUGCCAGCGGAUUAUGCCGGGGACUCAUGGGAGACUGCCGGGGUCAACUCGGAGGAAGGUGGGGAUGAGGUCAAGUCAUCAUGCCCCUUAUGUCUUGGGCUGCAAACAUGCUACAAUGGCCGGUACAGAGGGCUGCGAAACCGUAAGGUCGAGCGAAUCUCAAAAAGCCGGUCUCAGUUCGGAUUGGGGUCUGCAACUCGACCCCAUGAAGUCGGAGUCGCUAGUAAUCGCGAAUCAGCAACGUCGCGGUGAAUACGUUCCC
rnacentral:rRNA from 1 species